GUCUAUGGCCAUGCCACCCUGAUCUCGGAAGCUAAUCAGGGUCUGAUCUCAUCUGAUCUCAGAAGGUAAGCAGGGUUGGGCCUGGUUAGUACUUGGAUGGGAGACCACCUAGGAAUAUCAGGUGCUGUAGGCA
rnacentral:rRNA from 1 species